UACGAAGGGGGCUAGCGUUGUUCGGAAUCACUGGGCGUAAAGCGCACGUAGGCGGAUGUGUCAGUCAGGGGUGAAAUCCCGGAGCUCAACUUCGGAACUGCCUCUGAUACAGCACGUCUUGAGUUCGAGAGAGGUGGGUGGAAUUCCUAGUGUAGAGGUGAAAUUCGUAGAUAUUAGGAAGAACACCGGUGGCGAAGGCGGCCCACUGGCUCGAUACUGACGCUGAGGUGCGAAAGCGUGGGGAGCAAACAGG
rnacentral:rRNA from 1 species